CCGGCGAUGUCCGAAUGGGGAAACCCAGUGUGAUUCGUCACACUAUCGUUAACUGAAUACAUAGGUUAACGAGGCGAACCGGGGGAACUGAAACAUCUAAGUACCCCGAGGAAAAGAAAUCAACCGAGAUUCCCCCAGUAGCGGCGAGCGAACGGGGAGCAGCCCAGAGUCUGAAUCAGCUUGUGUGUUAGUGGAACGGUCUGGAAAGUCCGACGGUACAGGGUGAUAGUCCCGUACACCAAAAUGCACAGGCUGUGAACUCGAAGAGUAGGGCGGGACACGUGGUAUCCUGUCUGAAUAUGGGGGGACCAUCCUCCAAGGCUAAAUACUCCUGACUGACCGAUAGUGAACCAGUACCGUGAGGGAAAGGCGAAAAGAACCCCGGCGAGGGGAGUGAAAAAGAACCUGAAACCGUGUACGUACAAGCAGUGGGAGCACCUUCGGGUGUGACUGCGUACCUUUUGUAUAAUGGGUCAGCGACUUAUAUUCUGUAGCAAGGUUA
rnacentral:rRNA from 1 species